rnacentral:lncRNA from 13 species
GCCUAAUCAAGCAACAUGCAAGGAGCAGAAAUAGAAUGAGACAUCUCCUUUCUUCACCUGACCUCA